rnacentral:lncRNA from 1 species
UUCUGGAACAUAAAUUUGUACUUGACCUAAUUAUGAAUUUAUUAAGUUGGGCAUUCUUUUCAUUCAUGUUCUUAUGUGUCCAUGAAUCGUCCAAGAAAUUAAUAAGAUGAUGAUGCAUAUUCUCAAGAGUUGAGAAUUUGAGGCAUGUGUCAUUGGUGAUUAAUUCCUGAAUUGCUCCUGAUCGAUGGAUCAUCACGAGGACGGUGAUUGAUCCGCUGAGAUUAGUGCACAUAUUGUUGGGAACCCGCCCAUGCCGCUGAUAUUUCAAAAAUUAAAUCAGAUGGCAGCGGAAGAGGCAUGUGCGGG